rnacentral:rRNA from 1 species
GAUGAACGCUGGCGGCGUGCCUAAUACAUGCAAGUCGAGCGAACAGACGAGGAGCUUGCUCCUCUGACGUUAGCGGCGGACGGGUGAGUAACACGUGGAUAACCUACCUAUAAGACUGGGAUAACUUCGGGAAACCGGAGCUAAUACCGGAUAAUAUAUUGAACCGCAUGGUUCAAUAGUGAAAGACGGUUUUGCUGUCACUUAUAGAUGGAUCCGCGCCGCAUUAGCUAGCUGGUAAGGUAACGGCUUACCAAGGCGACGAUGCGUAGCCGACCUGAGAGGGUGAUCGGCCACACUGGAACUGAGACACGGUCCAGACUCCUACGGGAGGCAGCAGUAGGGAAUCUUCCGCAAUGGGCGAGAGCCUGACGGAGCAACGCCGCGUGAGUGAUGAAGGUCUUCGGAUCGUAAAACUCUGUUAUUAGGGAAGAACAAAUGUGUAAGUAACUAUGCACGUCUUGACGGUACCUAAUCAGAAAGCCACGGCUAACUACGUG